rnacentral:lncRNA from 1 species
AGGAUAAGCGACAUCGGGGCAGGUCCUGGGUAGAGUCCAGGUUGGCGGUUCCUGGGGCAGGGCCAGGAUAGGGCGAUCCUGGAAGCUGGGCUUCGGAAGCGUCCAGCUGUUGUUCCCCACCAGAACCAAAUGAGCGCAAGAUCUGACAAAGAAAAAAAAAGUCCCUGUAUCCUGAGAUGGAGUCACCUGAGAAUCCACAGCAAGUCCUAACCAGGGAUGGGUCUGGGUGAUUAAGGAAGGUUGGCUUCAGAACUGGGCCAGGGGCACUGCUUUGCUUUUGCUGUUUUGAUCAGCUCUCUGCCUGAAGGAGACAAGAAAAACCAACGGGAACAGCUGGGGAAACUGAGUUACAGAGCUUGUCUGCACUGAGUCAUCAGGAGCAAAUGCUAGAUCAGAUAGGGUCUCUCUCUCUGCCACCCAGGCCAGAGUGCAGUUGACGCAGGGCAGGGGAGCCCCGAAGUGGAGCAUAGUGUGUCCGGAACUGGUGGGUUCUUGGUCUCACUGACUUCAAGAAAGAAGCCGCGGACCCUCG